CUUGACACCCAGAAGGAGAGUAGUCACCGUGAUGGGAAUGAAACCGCUUGGAGCGAGAGGGAGGAUCCAUUCACUAGAUACAAUGUUUCCGGGACAUGGAGGAGAUACUCUUAAAGUGAGUUAUCAAGUGUAAAAGUGAGCCCCAAGGAGUACUCAGUGGUGGCAAUAACAAGAGCGUGCAGGGGCAAAAACUCUGAGGAAGGGGAACAUUGCUCUCCGCUUGGGGUUCUGUGGUCCCCAGGGGAUGAGGGUCUGCUGGGUCUGCAAAUGGCCAACUUCACGUUCUGAAGCGUAUAAGAAAGAGAACCAUUACCUUUCUAUGUUCCUCAAAACAAGACUCUGUAUACAACAGGACUGCACGACCAAGCCCAAAGUAAGACUACAGGUUUGUUGAUUUGGGAGUGGCGGGGGUGGGGGGUGUAGACUGAUGCUCCCAGAGAUCUUACCUGCCUUAUGCAUAGUUGUUCCUAAUAUGAGCACAUUAUAGACGUUCACUUAGUGUUUACUGGAUUGAAUUGAAUAUUAGAGAGUGGCUUUAACUUGCUAGGAUGGUUUUAGGAUCCCUAGUUCCAGACAAGGUUAGCAGUCACAGUAAGAACAAGAGUAAGAUGCCUGGGAGAAAAACGAGGGUCUUGGUUAAAUGCUUCUCGUGGUUAGAGCAUCAUGUUCCAGACCAGAAAAGGGAGGCAUCAUCUAGAAUUCCACCCACGUGAGUCAGGAGGAUUGGCCUUGGCUCCAGCCGGGGCGAUCACAGAGCAGAGGGCCACCAAGAGGGCGCAGGCAGGCAGAGAUGGCCACAAACAUUAGGCGAAAGGCAAAAACUUUGAAAACAUCAGGAGUGAGCUGGAUCUUGCUUUACCUUAGUUUAGUUAGUUUUCAAGUUACCUCAGGAAAGGCAGGGGCUAUUGCAGGACUACACGUGCAUUACUUUCAGAAACAGCCAGGAUCAGAGGCAGCUCCAGCCUAGACCGGCACCGUCUCGGCACAGCUGCUGCGCUCAAGCAUUUGCUCCAUUUUUCUCUCUCUCACCACAAGGUCAUCUGCUUCUGUAUUAGCUUCUGGGAGCAGCAGGGACACUAAACAGAGAGAUCUCUUAGAAUUUUCUAGUUCCAACAGAUUAUGGAAUUUUCCUGGGUCAUAGUAAUAUGUCACAGCCUAGCCAACGGAUGGGCUGCCCUUGGGUCAUACGUGCCUGUCCCUGGGAUCACAAGAUACAAAGGUGCCACCGAAAGUCUGGGGCUGUGGCUGAAGCUGGAGCUGGAGCAGUUCCCUUCACAUGGGUGUAUGAGGGGCAGGAGCUGUCAUUCCAGGACAGAGGUUCCUCUGGAGUUGGGGGCCAGGGCUGAUAGUGCUUGAGUGAUUCUCUUCUUUUCAUGUUACACAGCAGACGGAGGGUGGACAAGGGCACUGGCUCUCUUUAGGCUGGAAAGACAAACUACCAAAGAUAGAUGGCAGAAUAUGGCCCUUGCUGCUGGCUGGGCACCCUCAGGAAUGUUGCUGUCCAGAAUGGGAGGUGCCUCUGCUGCAUGUAUCUUUUGGGGAGGCAGUGGGCAGGUUGGCUAAGAACAUGAGUGAGGAUGUCGUGGGUUCUAAUCUCAGGAUGGCCACUUGGUUUGUGAUUUUGAAUAAAUAGCUCCCACCCUCUGAACUUCACAUUUUUUUAGUUAUAAAAUGGGAACAAUUCUAGCUUAGGUUGUUUAAAACAAAAUCAAGACCAUGUUAUCUUUACUACCUAAAUUCUGCAUGGCUUCCCAUUGUGCAAAAUUACAUCUCAAAUCCUUACACAAGCUGGCAACUCCCAGAACAAAUAUACCUCCUCAUGUCCAGGAUUUCCCCCAUGUCUUGCUCUGUUGCAGCCACACUGCCUCAUAGCGAUUCCUGUAAACUCCAGGCAUCCUCCUAUUCAGGCCCCUUGCACUAGCUGUAUUUUCUGUCUGGAAACAUCUUCACCCAGACAGCUUCAAGAUUCUUUCUUGGAUCAACUUCCAGUCUAUGCUAAAACAUUACUGUCUCAGUAGUUUCCCCUGCUACUCAGUUUAAAAUUAUAACCACUCCCCUUCUUCCCUGCAUGCUAGAUUCCUUUUGCCCUGCUUUAUUUUUCCAUUUUAGCUCAGUACAUAAUUAAUUAUUGAUCUUGCUAUGUUUUCUCUCCCACAGUAGAAUAUAAACCCCAGAGAAGAGGGAUUUUUGUCUAUUGUCUUUAUUGAUCUGGCUUCAGCACCUAUAAAGGAGUAGGCAUGAAAUAGA